GGCAUGUUAGCAGGACUCCAUCUCACUUUGCUCUUUUUUUCCUUUUCUCCCAAUAAAUUCUGCUCCUCACCCUUUUAUAUGUCUACCAGUCUAAUCUUUCCUGGUCAUGUGACAAGAACCCCGUUUUGGAGGAACUAAGGAGAAAGUUCCGCAACAUUUUUGGCAUCCAGACGUGGGGCUUGAGGAAAGAGUCAAGGAAACUUAUUUGGAACUAUUUACAGCCUUUAAUGAUUAAGGUAUACUCCUGUGAACAAAAUUUGGAGCAUAUAUGUCCUCUCUCUGCCUGGCUUCCCCAGAAUUUAGAAACUAGUUUAAAUUCUGCUCCUCAUCCUUCUAUGUGUCCGCAAACCUGAUCUUUUCUGGUCAUGUGAGAAGAACCUGGCUUUGGCUGAAUUAAGGAGAAAGUUCUGCAACAGUAUCCUUGACCUUAUGAAGACUUGCUCUGUGGAAUAGCUUCUCCCUCGUCCUUUCAUCGAGUCAGGCAAAUAAAGAGCAAAGGCAACAUAAAUUUAUUCUUAAUAUACAAGAUGAGGAGAACAGUAUUAAACGGAUCAUAAUUUUUUUGUGUGAGUCCCCUAAAGCAUGCCUUAAAAAGCUGCAGAGGGAACAAACUAGGGUACUAUGUGGACUGUCGUUGUCAUCUGGCUCUGUGUGUGUGAUCAGGAAGUGCUACGAUCCCAGCGAGAGACUUCACAUCUGUGUUUUCAUGACCCAAUGGAUAACAUCAGAGGAGCAGCUGCACAUGGUGAAAGAAAAUGUGCUGAAAUGUGCUUUUCCUUCCAGUUCUGCCAUGCAACCAAUUAUGUGACCACAGGCAUGUUACUCAACUCUGUGGGCCUCUGUCCCUCAUCUGAAGGCUAGGGGACUGAACAGAGAGGCUUCUGCUGGUAUUAGGAGUCUAGAAAUUCCUGUGCUUCCCUGAGACUAUUGGAGGCACUGAGUGCACAUGACCAUCUAGCAGCCUGGUUUAGACUGCCCAUCCUGGGACAGAAAAGACUGAGGACAUCCAGCAUCUCAUAUCACCCACUUUGGCAUGGACCAAAACAACCAGCAAAAGUCAUAAAUGACAGCAUAUUGUAUUGCAGAGAUAUGAAUAAUUCAGUGUCUCAGGGCAGCCUCAUUAUCGUGGUCACCCUGAAAAAGCUAAAAACAGUUGGCAAGGGAGCAGCUGCGCAAGGCUCAGCUCAUAGUUCUGGGCUCUUUCUCAUCUUUCAAGGCCAUGUGCUACUUCCUGGCUGCUUUGGCCAUACCUGAGUUGCCAUGCCUGAGGGUCACUCCUCAUCCGGAAGGAUGUUCAUUCACCAGGUGGCCUCAGGUAUGAGCAGCCCACCUGCCUGCCUGGUUGCAUGGAGGGAAGGCUCCUUUUUAGGCCCUCGAAAAUUACUGAAGUUUUCAGUUCUCUAUGUCUGAUGCAGAGCCUUUUUUAGUCAGGAGUUAAAAAUGAGCAGAAACUGAGGUUCCUUGGUCACUGUACUUCCAUUACUAAGUUACAACGAGGUUUAAAACACAGUGAUCUUACGGAGCUGAAGACAAAUAUAAUCAGAGACCCCAGGAACAGUAUUUUAUCAUUUCCAAAUAGCAUUGUUGAAGAGCUUCAUUGGCAAGAUAAAAUCCUAAUAUUCUUGGGGUGGGGGUGGGGAAUUAAUAAAACACCAAAGAAGUGUGUUAUAUGACUUAACCAGUCAACUAAAGGAACAAAGAUAAUUAGAAAACCAAAAUCCCUUACAUCUUUAUAUUCUGAGGAAGGCAACUGAUGUGACAGAAAUAAAUUCAAACCAGUUUCCCUGCAGAUUAUCCCAUUUGAAUAUAACAAAUGAAUUCCCCAAACACGGUUGCCAUGGCAGCCAGUACAUAUUGUCCCAGGCUCAGGCCCUCCCAGAGCCAGAAACAUGUGGACAAGAGGUACCAGACAGUGAAGUGAGGGCUGGUUUCUCCCCUGGUGCUUCUCUCUUAAGGCUUCCAUUUGUGUCCACACAGUGCCAGGUCACCUAUGUGACCUCAGACAUGGAGACAUGAACUGGUUCACAGGGUCAGAGCCCAGAACAAAACAGGAUAGGCCUAGUGAGAAUGUGGCAAUAGACCUGUCCUAAUAUAUUAAUUCAUAUACCGUCAUUAUUUUCCUUGUCAUUUUAGUCUCAUAGGGAAUUGUAUUUGUUCGGAAUUGACUCUUUUGCACCCAGAUGCACACAUUCAUUCCCAUUAAUAACUGAAAACUGACUCUGAGAAUUGUGUAUGGAAGGUUUGUUGGAGAAAAAAAUGCAGGACUAUAGUGGAUACAGUGUUGUUCCCUUCAGAUUCCCUCUUCACAGUGGAUGCUGCUAGAAAUAGGAACAGCUCCCAGCCCUCAGCUGCACCCCUCACCCAAGUUGGCAUCCACUUAAGAGAACUGACUCCCCCAAAGUCACGCUCCUUCCCAGGGGUGGCAUGCAGCCAAUGAUUGGCUGAUGUGGAGAUACAAUUCAGGACAAAAUUCCAAAAACUUCCCAGCUCUCCAUUUCCCAGAGGACCAGCUUAGGUCUCUGUUAUAACCAUAUUGCUGUUCAGUGUCUCCCUUGCCUGAUCCUGCCUUCCUCACUUUUUUCUAGGUCUAUCUCUGGUAAGAACUCUCCAACAAACUUUCCAUACACAAUUCUCAGAGUCAGUUUUCAGGAAACCCAAUCUAAAAUGAGGACAUGAGUGGGCAAAUCCAAACUUGGCAAGCCAAGUAAACCUUGGGUUAACAGUUUUUGCAAAUAAGUUGCAACCAAUUCAAACAUGUUUACAAUUAAAUGUUAGGGAAGAAAAUUAAUGUUUUCAAUUAUAUUCCUAUAUUCACCCUGUACUAGAAUAAAAGAUUAUUAAACCUCUGAAGCAGAGAAACAAAAAUAUUUUUAGCAUAAGGCCUACCUGUAAGAACUGUGGAGGAGAAUGUCACAUCUGGUGAGGUACCUGUGACAUGCAGGAGGGACCUACUCCUCAAACGUGUACCUUAAAACACCCUCUAGGUAAUCAAGCAUCUGUUGGCCUCUGGCACUCUGUUCAAAUCACUGGUUACCCAAUGGGAGCCUCUUACCUCCAGGACCAGCCACAGCUGUCCCCCUACACAG